GCUUUAGUCGUUCAAAGGUUAGGAUAACAGGUUUUCACCCUGUUGAUUCAGGUUCGAUUCCUGACUAAAGCG
rnacentral:tRNA from 1 species